rnacentral:rRNA from 1 species
GACGAACGCUGGCGGCGUGGAUUAGGCAUGCAAGUCGAACGGUAUAUAUUCUUUCGGGGAUAUAGAGAGUGGCGAACGGGUGAGUAACGCGUAGGUAAUCUACCUUCAAGUGGGGGACAACCCAGGGAAACUUGGGCUAAUACCGCAUGUGGCAGUAAUGCUAAAGCCGGCCUCUGAAUAUGCUGGUGCUUGGAGAUGAGCCUGCGUCUGAUUAGCUAGUUGGCGGGGUAACGGCCCACCAAGGCGAUGAUAAGUAGGCGGCUUUAACGAGUGGUCGCCCACACUGGGAUUGAGAUACGGCCCAGACUCCUACGGGAGGCAGCAGUCGAGGAUAGUCUACAAUGGUCGAGAGAUUGAUAGUGCGACGCCGCGUGAACGAUGAAGCAUUUCGGUGUGUAAAGUUCUUUUCUAUGGGAGCAGUGC